AGAUUAAGCCAUGCAUGUCUAAGUACCUGCCGACCUAAGGUGAAACCGCGAAUGGCUCAUUAAAUCAGUCUUAAUUUACGGGAUGUUGGAAAAUCCUUACUCGGAUAACUGUGGUAAUUCUAGAGCUAAUACGUGCAAUUCGUCUCCGACCUCGAGGACGAUUCGUUCCUCGACGGGAAGGGCGCAUUUAUUAGACCAAAACCGGGUCGUGGACGUUAACGCGUUCCUAUCGGAAAAGUCUUUUUAUUAGGCUCUACGUAGCGUACGCGGUCCACCCUUUUACGGUAAAUUGGUGACUCUGGAUAACUAUUGGCCGAGCGCUGAGGUCUUAGCACCGGCGCCGUAUCCUUCGAGUGUCUGCCUUAUCAGCUCUCGAUUGUAGGAUAUUUGCCUACAAUGGCUGUAACGGGUAACGGGGAAUCAGGGUUCGAUUCCGGAGAGGGAGCCUGAGAAACGGCUACCACAUCUAAGGAAGGCAGCAGGCGCGCAAAUUACCCAAUUCCGGCACGGAGAGGUAGUGACGAAAAAUAACGAUACGGGGACUCUUCUGAGCCUCCGUAAUCGGAAUGAGU
rnacentral:rRNA from 1 species